GGGGGGGGGGGGCGGCGGGCUGGGCGCAGGCGGGGGGAGCGGGGCGGCCGUGGGGGGGGGGGGUGCGCGAGUGGCGAACGGGGGAGUAACACGGGAGGAACCUGCCCUUGACUUUGGGAUAACUUCAGGAAACUGGGGCUAGCAACGGCUAGGAGCUCCUUCUGCAUGGUGGGGGUUGGACAGUUUCGGCGGCUCGGGAUGGACUGGCGGCUUAUCAGCUUGUUGGUGGGGUAGUGGCUUCCCAAGCCUUUGACGGGUCGCCGGCCUUGGAGGGGGACCGGCCACAUUGGGACUGAGAGACGGCCCAGACUCGUACGGGAGGCAGCAGUGGGGAAUAUUGCACAAUGGGCGGAAGCCUGAUGCAGCAACGCCGCGUGCGGGAUGACGGCCUUCGGGUUGUAAACCGCUUUCGCCUGUGACGAAGCGUGAGUGACGGUAAUGGGUAAAGAAGCACCGGCUAACUACGUG
rnacentral:rRNA from 1 species